AUCCGUUACAACAUGGAAACCAUACCUGAUCCUCCUCAGCUAACCCCCUUUGUCUCUUCAUCCCUGAGAGCCACCGUAAGCAGUUUUGUGACUAUAAUGGGGAGCCUGUUGGUUUUGUGAGGACUGAGACACCCACACCCUUGGGCUGCUUCAUGCCCUGUUUCUGUCCUCCAUAGCUGUCCGAUCAUGCUCCCAUGCAUUUUGUGCCAUGAAGUCAGGACGCUUGUCCCAGACUCUUAAGUCUGUAAGAGGCUGAGCAAGAGAACUGGGGAGGGGCAGGACCAGGAGGGAGAGGUGGGGACAGCUGGGGUGAACCAAGAGCUUGGGUUCUACUCAUGUGACAGACAAAAUUUAUUAAAGGUUUGUGAAAC
rnacentral:lncRNA from 1 species